UCUUAUGAAUGAGCAAAGAAAGUGGUUUCUUAAGAUGGAAACUACUCCUGGUGAGGAUACUGUAAA
rnacentral:pre_miRNA from 1 species